UAUCGGUCGGCCGAUAUGAGCUAAUUGCAUUUAAAUCGGCAUCGGCGUUUAUAACGGCCGAUGAAACAUGAGAAACAGAGUCUCAUGCUUCACUCAUGUUAUGAGUGUUGCAUAGUUUGCCCACCAGAGGGAGCUCUGCAACUCCCCAGUUGACAACAGCGCCAGAAAUCCACCGAGAUACGGAGAUGUACUGUUUGAUGGAAGUGACAUCAUCUGGGCUCUUUCUACAGCAUGAUGGGAGGACAAGAAAGAAAUCUCAAUCCAUUAGUCUCAGUUUUUACACAAAUGAAUGACUGCAUUCAUCAACCCUGUUACCAAAGUUACUUCUUUGCAGAUUUCAGCUCUUCCUGAUGCUCUGAUGCUCGUCUGAUGGGAAUAUUCCUGCAUUCAUUGAUGAACUAAUAUGGGAGGAGCUUCACUGAUGAUGUGACUGAUGUGGGAGGAGCUUCACUGAUGAUCUACUGCAGUGGGAGGAGCUGAUCUGCCAAAAUUAAAAAUAUAUCAGUUACUGUGUUUAUAGGGUUAAAGUCCAGAUAUCAAAUUUUAUAUAAAGAUUUAAAAUGACAAUGAAAGAGUAUUUUGGGCUGCACUGUGAUCCUUAAAUACAGUGUUUGAAUGUCAGAAAAUGAUUCUUGUUCUAAAUAAUGACAGUUUUUUUUUCUAUAUUAACCUCUUUUUGUAUUUCACCAAAUAAACUAAUUGCAUUCAGAAUUUAUCCAUCUAUCGUAAAGCAACUGAGGCUAAUUCAGAACAUUUUAUUUCUAAAUCAAACUUUAUUCUGUUUCUUCAUUAAAAUAAUGGCAAAUAUCUAGAAAAGUAGUAAAAAAAAAAAAAGUUGAAAGCAUGAAUACAGAAACACACUUAUUUGUAGUCAUCAAAUCCCCUCAGUCUGUUGACAGCAAUGAAAUGAGCUUUAAGUGUCAAUUUACAGCAGAUCUGAAGACAUCAGCAUAAUAAAUGAGGUGAAAACAGGAACUAUUGACAUGAAAUAAAGAGUGUUUUCAGCAG